GAAUUCGUAGUAUAACUUUAAUACUUAAUUUUUUCAUGAUUAAAAUCUUUUUGUGAAUUCU
rnacentral:tRNA from 1 species